AUUGAACGCUGGCGGCAGGCCUAACACAUGCAAGUCGAGCGAGCGGCGGACGGGUGAGUAAUGUCUGGGAAACUGCCUGAUGGAGGGGGAUAACUACUGGAAACGGUAGCUAAUACCGCAUACCAUCAGAUGUGCCCAGAGGGGAUUAGCUAGUAGGUGGGGUAACGGCUCACCCAGGCGACGAUCCCUAGCUGGUCUGGGAGGAUGACCAGCCACACGGGAACUGAGACACGGUCCAGACUCCUCCGGGAGGCAGCAGUGGGGAAUAUUGCACAAUGGGCGCAAGCCUGAUGCAGCCAUGCCGCGUGUUUGAAGAAGGCCUUCGGGUUGUAAAGCCCUUUCAGCGGGGAGGCUUUACCCGAAGAAGAAGCACCGGCUAACUCCGUGCCAGCAGCCGCGGUAAUUC
rnacentral:rRNA from 1 species